rnacentral:rRNA from 1 species
AUACGGGGGGUGCAAGCGUUAAUCGGAAUUACUGGGCGUAAAGCGCGCGUAGGCGGCUUGUUAAGUCGGAUGUGAAAUCCCCGGGCUCAACCUGGGAAUUGCAUUCGAUACUGCCAGGCUAGAAUGUAGUAGAGGGUAGUGGAAUUCCGGGUGUAGCGGUGAAAUGCGUAGAUAUCCGGAGGAACAUCAGUGGCGAAGGCGACUACCUGGACUAACAUUGACGCUGAGGUGCGAAAGCGUGGGGAGCAAACAGGAUUAGAAACCCCAGUAGUCC